GCCGCGUCGGCUGCUUCGAAAGCGCCGAAGCGAGCUGAGAACGGAAGUUUAAAAUCCCACCUGCGCUGCGGUUCUGAUCAAGUGGGGAGCUUUCCCCUCUUCGGGUGUGUGUGCUUGACAACACUUGAAAGCAAUAUAAUAGGAAGUGGCUGCUUUUGACGGCGUCCAACAUGGUAAACUACUGCUCGGUGCCGCAGUGUCGGAUGUACGCAACGGAGCCCGGUGUCAGUCUUCACACGUACUCGCAUGACUAGGAGCUGCGUGAAGAUUGGAUCGCGAAACUUGGAAUCAGCAAGCAGCCAUCGGCUACAACUCGGGUGUGCGGCAAACACUCCCGCGAGGAAGAUUUCUGCUACGGCGUCGGGACACAGUGUUCGGUGCUUUUCCUUCACAUCGUCUCAAGCGCGGGGUUUCUAACUAUUCCGAAGGCAUGCGCCACUGCAUCUUGAACCGCCCAACGCAUCGCAAACUGCCAAGUAUCUGCAAGAUUGUCAAGUUAUCUGUUGCAUCGACGAAGUCAACGCUGGAUGGUCCACUGUAUCUGUGACGUCAUGGCCUUCAGCUAUAAAGGCAGCUGCUUCACCCGAGGACUUUAGAGGGCACGGCAGCUUUUCUGAGAACAUGCCUAACCACGCGUGGCUUGUGUUACAGGUCAGUUUUUGUAAUCCCGGCUCUAACAUACGUACAAGCUGUUAUGGUCUUUUUGUGCUGCCGUGCCCCCAGCGGUGUUUUCAUAUGAUUGCUCAUUGCUGGCUUACUAUACUUAUCACUUUGUGUGGAGAUGUUGAGGAAAAUCCUGGCCCUGAAUGACAGGAAGGGCUGAAUACCAUCUUGACUUAUCCGAAGGAACUUAAAGAGUCCGAGAAAAAGCGGGAUGACACAAUGUCGCAAAUGAAUUCUCAGUUGUCAAAGUUGAAGUGCUAUGAAUAUCAAAAGCGAAAAACAGAAAAUAUCUGUGCUGAAAAAUUCGGUAAAGCAUUUCGAAAAUGUCUUGGCUGCUCAGGAUAAAAAGGAAGACAGAACACGUCGAAAUAACUCGAUGGUGUUUGGAA